rnacentral:rRNA from 1 species
UGUGACAGACGAUGCCUGUGCGUGUGUAUUAAGAAGGAGGCAAGGGUUAUUCGAAUUACGUGUGCGUAAUGUGCACUUAGGCUGACAAGCCGGUCCGCUGUUAAAACGCGAUGCUCAACGUCGAUAGGUCGGUGGAAAUCGUUUGGCUAGAGUCCGGAAGAGGAGAGUGGAAUUCCGUGUGUAGCGGUGAAAUGCGCAGAUAUCGGGAAGAACACCCGUGGCGAAGGCGGCUAUCUGGGACGGUACUGACGCUGGGACGCGAAAGCGUGGGGAGCGAACAGGAUUAGAUACCCGAGUAGUC